rnacentral:rRNA from 1 species
CAGCCGCCGCGGUAAUACGUAGGGUGCAAGCGUUAAUCGGAAUUACUGGGCGUAAAGCGUGCGCAGGCGGUUAUAUAAGUCAGAUGUGAAAUCCCCGGGCUCAACCUGGGAACUGCAUUUGAGACUGUAUGGCUAGAGUGUGUCAGAGGGGGGUAGAAUUCCACGUGUAGCAGUGAAAUGCGUAGAUAUGCGGAGGAACACCGAUGGCGAAGGCAAUCCCCUGGACCUGUACUGACGCUCAUGUGCGAAAGCGUGGGGGGCAAACAGGAUUAGAUACCCCAGUAGUCCCUGUCUCUUAUAC